AGAAUGGGGCUUGCUUACUGAAUAACAAAAUCUGAGGCUGGAAAUGCAGCUCAGCUAGCAUGUGAUCCUCUGCCCCUCAUAAGCCAGACUAGGUGUCCCAUGCCUGGAACUAGGGAGUCGCAGGCAGAAGAAUUAGAAGUUCAAGGCCAUCCUUGGUUAUGAUGCAAGUUCAAAGUCAAUCUGGACUACAGGAUACACUGUUUCAAAAGAACAAGGAGAAGGAAGAAGAAGGGGAGGAGAAUGGGCCAGGGAGGCAAAUUCCAAGGGAAGCAUUAGCAUGCUUUAUACCUGGGAGUGAGAUGUUGUGUUUGUUGAAGAGUCAGUCAAGAAGGGAGUACAGAACUGAUUUGUUCUGUGCAUCUGUGGCCAGUUGAAGUUUCUAAAUGUGUCAGGAAAGGAGGCUUGAAGAGCAGGCUGUGUGUGCAGGACACUCAAGCAACAUUAUUCACAUUAUUCAGAGAGAGAGAGAGAGAGAGCUCAUAACUUACCCUAUAAAACCACCUAGCACCACCAAGGCCCCUUUAAGGCUCAGGUACCUGCAGCUGGAAAUCAAAUCCACUGCAUACACAAGAGCAGAAAACUCAUGAGACGGCAAGGAUUUGCCCGUGAGGAUGUGGUUGGGGAAAGGGGCCCACCCUGUGUGCCUCACGCUCUAUCAAUUAUCUCCUUUAGUUAGAGCCUUGCAAACAGCUCUUUAAGAUGACGAUUACAGUCUUCGCAGAGCUUGCGAUUGCUAUUACUGUGUGCCUGUGGCCUCUCCCCUGGUAAUUGCAGAGUUCAGUCUGGAAAACCCACAUUCUCUGCUUCCUCUCACUAAGACCCCCGGCACGCCGGCUGUUUAAACAACACUCACUUUCCCUGACUCCUCAGUGUCCUGUUUUUCACCCUUGACCCUGUCAAGCCUGAGAACUGAGAUCUGGCCAGGUCCAUCUGGCCUACAGGUUCGAGUCUUCACGGUGCAGGUCACACCACUGCCUGGACUCCACCAAUGGUCACCAUGGGUGACCAGCUCUGUCUACUGUAGCUACCAAACUGCUGGUGUCAGCUUGUACUUCCAUCCAAGCUGGGUGGGGAAGUGGUCUCCAUGGUUCCCUUUAUCUCCACAGCGUGAAAGCCGACAGAACAAGCCUGAGUGCGGUGGAUGCUGGGGGAAUCCAUUGUAAGGACUGCCCGCCUGGAUUUUCCCCCAUUUGGUCUUCCCAAUAAGCUUAAUGUUGCCAGCUCUGUUUUCGGGAUGUAAAGAAAAGCAAUGGAGACAAAGGGAACUGAACUUGAUCAGUUUGACACCAUGCCAUCCCUUCAGGCUUCGACAGAGCAAGGAAGCGAGAGCAGAGGGGUUAGGUUGCAGACAGUGAGCGCGGCAAAGCUUGAGCCAACAUGUUCUAAUCCUCGCCCUUCCUGAGUUCACAGAUGCUGGUCUAAGAGGAACGAGGAGACAGUUACAUCGGCAGAUGUCUCUUUAUGACUCCGUCACCCACUGUCAGUCAAUACGGUGCAUGGGCAAGUCAUCACAUCUAAAUCACAGGUUCUGCAGACAAGGCUCUUUUAGAGACUGUAGAUGCUCAGGGUGCAGUCACCUCAAGCACCAAGGUGAGAAGGAGGUGGACUGUCCAUCCUUCGGAGCCGCAAGCAUGAGCUAUAAGAGCAGCACAGUCAGGAUGCUGAGCACCGGUACAGAUGGUUCAGAUCUAGAACCUUUUGUUCUGGAUCACGAAGGUCCUGCUCACGAAGAUCUAGACUCUUUGGAGAGAUGGAAAGCUAAAAAGACUGAGGAGAACAAGAGGAGAGAUCUUCAAAUAGCAAUCAAAGAUGGAACAACACAAAGCACCUGAGAGAAGGUGUGGGGCAUCCUAAGUGUCGGAGGGAAGGAUGCUGCCGUUGGCAUUUUGAGCAAAGAGCUGUUUCGGAAUCCUAUCCCUGCUGCCUGGAGUCUAAUUGGGUGUUACCUGGGGCACUAGAGACAUUUGCAACCUGCUUUGCCCAGUGCUGAGUGUCACCAUCCAGAAGCAGUGCUGGCUGGACUCACACACGCAGCCAGGGAAGCAGCUACCACCCAAAGAGAAACAUCAUAGCCUAGACUUUCCCUACAUGCAAUUCUUUCCAGAAAGGAAAUCUGCCAAGAGGCAAGAGCUACUGAGAACAGGGAGCGGAGAUGGCAUAUUGGAGCCAUGUGGGGAAAGUUGAUUUCUUGGCAGUGCCCACACCCCAAGAUAGCAGAGAAAUUAAAUGCAUAGCAAAGGGGGGUCCCUUAUUCCCAACCCCAGGCAUCUAGGGGAAGCAUGUCUGUCUCCUCUGGAACUCAAAGACAGUAGGCUGGUCCACGCAAGUUUCCCUGUGAGGACUUACAUGCAGCCAGUCUCUCCCCAGCCCUCCCCACUAACUUUGGGCAUUCCUACUCCCCACACGCACCAAAUUAGCCUGAGUGUCAAUCCAAAACCCAAGGCAAGGAAACGCAAGCCUGGAAGCUAGCAGCCAGGUGCUCUGAGUGCCCUCCCCCCUCAGAGCUCAAUUCACACACACGCGCCUCUCCUCGGUGGAGCCUGAGGCAGGCUCAUUUCCCCUUAGGUUGUCACAGACCAAUUUUCUAAACUGCAUGAAAACAGAAAACAAACAGAAAACUAAAUCCACCAAAGCCCGAGUCUCAGGAACAGCUUGGCAGGCCCGAGUAACGUGCUAACAAUUUCAUGCUGUUUUAAGACUUUCUAACUAAGCAACAACCAGAUGUGCCCUGAUACAAGAAAAAAAAAAAAAAAAAAUCAGCUUCUAGGGACAGAGAUUUGUAAAACAG